AUGAUUUUAAAGGUUAAUACACCGAAAAAGGUAACCCAAUUUAGGCCGACCAGCUUAUGUAAUGUGGUAUAUAAAAUAAUUACAAAAAUGAUGGCUUAUCGGUUGAAGGUCUUCCUGCCAGAUAUUAUUAGCCCAACUCAAAGUGCUUUCGUACCCGGCAGACUGCUAACAUAUAAUAUUUUAGUAGCUUAUGAAUGUUUUCACACACUCAAGAAUAAAAGAGAAGGUAGAGAGGGUUUAUGCGCUAUAAAACUUGAUAUGCACAAAGCUUAUGACAGAGUUGAAUGGCCUUCUUUGAAAGAAAUUAUGUUGCGAUUGGGUUUCCGUCAAGAUUGGGUAAAUUUUAUUAUGCAAUGCGUCUCAACGGUCGAGUACAGAGUAAGGAUUAAUGCGGAGAAAAGUGAGAGCUUCAAGCCUACAAAGGGUUUGAGACAUGGAGACCUGUUGUCACCAUACCUCUUCUUGUUGUGCAUUAAGAGUUUGAACGCGUUCUUACACAUGCGGAGGAAAAUGGAAAAAUUUCAGGAGUAA
rnacentral:rRNA from 1 species